AAUUGACUCUCAGUUCCUCAGGCUGUACAGGAAACAUGGCUUGGGAGGCCUCAGGAAACUUACAAUCAUGGUGGAAGGCAAAAGGGAAGCCGGCAUGUCUUACAUGGCAGGAGCGGGAGGAAGAGAUAGUGAAGGGGGAAGUGCUACACCCUUUUAAACAACCAGAUCUCGUGAGAACUGACUCACUAUCGCAAGAACAGCAACGGGAAUGUCUGCCCCCAUGAUCCAAUCACCUCCCACCCGAUCCCUCCCCCAACGUUGGGUCUUACAAUUUAACAUGAGAUUUGGGUGGAGAAACAGAGCCAAACCACAUGAAGAGCAGACCUACAUUUAAGGAGUGGGGUGAGUGGAAGGAGAGACCUCAUAAAAUCAACUGCCAAGUAAGGGGUUCUUUUUUGUACCUAAACUCUGGAUAAAUAUUUACUUAGAAUUAAAGACUGAGACAGCCAUGUGCAAAGAUCAUUUUGCCCUUUGAAAAGGCAUGCAGGAGAGAAAUUGCCUUUUGUGAUCAUUUCCGUACAAGUUCCGCAUGGUUCAGGAAACUUACAAUCAUGGCAAAGGCACCUCUUUACAGGGCGGCAGGAGAGCGAUGUGCUGAGCAAAGGGAGAAAAGCCUCUUACAAAACCAUCCACUGUCACAAGAACAGCAUGGGGGUAACCGCCCUCAUGAUUCAAUUACCUCCCACCGGGUCCUCUCACAAGAGCUCUCAGAACUCCAUCUACCUGCUGCAUGACCAAGUAUAAGCUAAUAUGCUGGAUAAUGGGAGACUACAUGGAACAGAGGGAAUGAACUCCUUCUACAGCCAUCCUUGAUCAGCCAGUGCUCAACCAACCUGGCACCUGCCUGCAGAAGCAUCAUGAGCUUAGCCAAGAUGAGAAAAACUGCCCUGCCUGAGCCCAGCCCCAAGUGUCUGCGUGUUCUUCUGUUUUUAGCCACUAUAUUUUUUGGUGGUUUGUGGCAUAAAAAAAUGCAAACUGAUUGUUAUAGUUAACUGUAUGUGUCAACUUGGUUAUGUUACGGUACUUAAAUAUUUAGUCAAACAUUAUUCUAGAUGUUUCUGUGAAGAUUUUUUAAGGUGAGAUUAACAUUUAAACCAGUAGACUUUAAGUAAAGCAUAUGACCCUCCAUAAUGUGGGUGAGCCUCAUCCAAUCAGUUGAAGGCCUUUGUAGAGAAACACUGAACUCUUUGAGCAAGAAAAAAAUUCUACCAGUGAACAGCCUUUGGACUUGAACUGCAAGGCUUCUUUAGGUCUCCAGCCCACCAGCCUGCCCUGCAGAUUGUGUACCUGCCAGCCCCCACAAUUGUUAGCCAGUUCUUUAAAAUAUAUGCCCCCACCACACACUUAUCUAUCUACCUACCUACCUGUCUACCCUGUUGGUUGUGUUUCUCUGGAGUCCUCUGACUAAUAUACUAAUUUACUUACUAAUUCUUACUUUUGUUAUUUUCUUUAAUAGAAAAGAUAGGCAAAACAGUUAAUUUAUUUCAUUACAAUUAGGCAAGGCUCCUUUUUAUGCCCAAUUUCUUUCAUUUUCCAACUGCCUCCCACCCCUUAGUGACCUGAACCAUGACUAACUUUUUGUAUCACAGGGAUCAGGAAAAUGGUGUUGCCCUUGGUAAAUAUUGAUCACCUUCUCCCUCUUUCCGAAGCCCAAAAUGGCAAGAGAGUGAUGGGCCACAUCAGCUUGCAUGUAUGUUUGUUUCCCGUGCCCCUCAUCAAGAAUAUUGCCUGCAAAAGAAAUGCUCAUUACCCUCAGAGGGGUUGUAGUCUAUAACGGAAUGAUUAUCGUUGGUAUGGAUAUUUAAUUGGCAAUUAUUAUGGCCAAAAUCUUUCUUUCUUCCUUUUCUUUUUUCAGAAGUAGGUUCUUGCUAUGUUGACCAGGCUGGUGUGCAGUGGUGCAAUCAUAGCUUAUUGCAUCCUUAAACUCCUGGGCUCAAGCAAUUCUCUUGGCUCAGCCUCCCAAGUAGUUGGGACCACAAGUGCAUGCCACCACACCCAGCUAAUUUUAACCUUUUUUUUUUUUUUUUUUUUUUUUGCAUAGACAGGGUCUCACUAUGUUGACCAGGCAGGUCUGGAAUUCCUGGCCUCAAGAAAUCCUUCUGCUUCAGCCUCCCAAAGUGCUGAAAUUACAGGUGUGAGCUACUACCCCCAGCCCAGGACCAAAAUAUUUCUAAUGCAUCAGUUUGUUUCUCUAUUUAAAAGGGAAAUAAUUAUUUAUAAUAAUUAUCCGAUCAUUGCAUAUAUUUAUUUUAAACCAUCCAGUGACUUUGCAUAAUGGACAAUAAAAAAUCUGCAGUCUAUAGCAUCUUAUAUUGAAACACUUUGAACAGUCAACUAUGAAACAGGAAUAAUUGCACACAUAUGUGCUUUCUCUUACUCUUUGUAUUUACUUAUGCACACACCUAUUGGCAAAAGGUUUAUUCUAAGCAGAAAUCUGG
rnacentral:lncRNA from 1 species